rnacentral:lncRNA from 13 species
AUAAACAGUGGUAAUGACACAUUUGCCUCUCUGGCACCUCUUAUUGAAAAAUGGAAGUCCAAUCCUUCCUUCCAAACUUGCCUUCUCAGGUUCUGAAACUUCCUACUAUUGGGUGAUUCAGUCUUGCAAAGUGAGAUUUGAAAGUGGGACUUCCAGUCGUCAGAAGCCGUCAGAAUGCUCUCCUACUCACUUUCCCAAGUGGAGAAACUGAGAUUCAGACAAGGAGCUUCUUGUUCAGCAAACACUACUUAGCCAAUAAUCUAAAUGGAAGUUAAUGGAGAAUUGUUUGACUCAGUGCUAUGGUCUGAAUGUUGUGUCCCUCCCAAAUUCAAAUUCAAAUCCUAACCCCAAGGUGGUGAUAUGAGGAGGUGGAGUCUUUGGAAGGUGAUUAUAUCAUGGGAGUGGAACUGUCAUGAAUGGGAUCAGUGCCCUUGUAUAAAAGCCUCCUCAACCCUUCAACUAUGUGAGGACACGGCAAGAAGAUGCCAUCUAUGAACUGGAAAGUAGGCCCUCAUCAGACUCAGACCUACUGACACCUUGAUCUUGGACUUCCCAGUCUCCAGAACCUUGAGAAAUAAAUUUCUGCUGUUUAUAAGAGGCUUGGUUUAU